GAACGGUAGCACAGAGAGCUUGCUCUCGGGUGACGAGUGGCGGACGGGUGAGUAAUGUCUGGGAAACUGCCCGAUGGAGGGGGAUAACUACUGGAAACGGUAGCUAAUACCGCAUAACGUCGCAAGACCAAAGUGGGGGACCUUCGGGCCUCACACCAUCGGAUGUGCCCAGAUGGGAUUAGCUAGUAGGUGGGGUAAUGGCUCACCUAGGCGACGAUCCCUAGCUGGUCUGAGAGGAUGACCAGCCACACUGGAACUGAGACACGGUCCAGACUCCUACGGGAGGCAGCAGUGGGGAAUAUUGCACAAUGGGCGCAAGCCUGAUGCAGCCAUGCCGCGUGUAUGAAGAAGGCCUUCGGGUUGUAAAGUACUUUCAGUGGGGAGGAAGGCGAUGAAGUUAAUAGCUUCGUCGAUUGACGUUACCCGCAGAAGAAGCACCGGCUAACUCCGUG
rnacentral:rRNA from 1 species